AUCACUUCUCGGCCUUUUGGCUAAGAUCAAGUGUAGAAAAAAAAAAAAAAAAAAAAAAAAAAGCAACUUGGAGGGUCUCUGGAUGGCUCAGUGGGUUAAGCAUCCAAUUUUUGGUUUUGGCUCAGGUCAUGAUAUCAGGGUUGUGACACUGAGCCCUGUGUCAGGCUCCACACUCA
rnacentral:snRNA from 1 species